rnacentral:rRNA from 2 species
AAAUUGAAGAGUUUGAUCAUGGCUCAGAUUGAACGCUGGCGGCAGGCCUAACACAUGCAAGUCGAACGGUAGCACAGAGAGCUUGCUCUCGGGUGACGAGUGGCGGACGGGUGAGUAAUGUCUGGGAAACUGCCUGAUGGAGGGGGAUAACUACUGGAAACGGUGGCUAAUACCGCAUAACGUCGCAAGACCAAAGAGGGGGACCUUCGGGCCUCUUGCCAUCAGAUGUGCCCAGAUGGGAUUAGCUAGUUGGUGAGGUAACGGCUCACCAAGGCGACGAUCCCUAGCUGGUCUGAGAGGAUGACCAGCCACACUGGAACUGAGACACGGUCCAGACUCCUACGGGAGGCAGCAGUGGGGAAUAUUGCACAAUGGGCGCAAGC